CAUGCUUGUCGCACGCUUUGUGGUUCAACUGAUUUGAAGAGCUUGCUCAGAUAUGACGAUGGACAUUGCAAAGAGUGGCGAACGGGUGAGUAACACGUGGGAAACCUACCUCUUAGCAGGGGAUAACAUUUGGAAACAGAUGCUAAUACCGUAUAACAAUGACAACCGCAUGGUUGUUAUUUGAAAGAUGGUUCUGCUAUCACUAAGAGAUGGUCCCGCGGUGCAUUAGCUAGUUGGUAAGGUAAUGGCUUACCAAGGCGAUGAUGCAUAGCCGAGUUGAGAGACUGAUCGGCCACAAUGGGACUGAGACACGGCCCAUACUCCUACGGGAGGCAGCAGUAGGGAAUCUUCCACAAUGGGCGAAAGCCUGAUGGAGCAACGCCGCGUGUGUGAUGAAGGGUUUCGGCUCGUAAAACACUGUUGUAAGAGAAGAAUGACAUUGAGAGUAACUGUUCAAUGUGUGACGGUAUCUUACCAGAAAGGAACGGCUAAAUACGUGCCAGCAGCCGCGGUAAUACGUAUGUUCCAAGCGUUAUCCGGAUUUAUUGGGCGUAAAGCGAGCGCAGACGGGUUAUUUAAAGUCUGAAGUGAAAGCCCUCAGCU
rnacentral:rRNA from 1 species